GGAUGAAGAACGCAGCGAAAUGCGAUAAGUAAUGUGAAUUGCAGAAUUCAGCGAAUCAUCGAAUCUUUGAACGCACAUUGCGCCCCCCGGCAUUCCGGGGGGCAUGCCUGUCCGAGCGUCAUUGCACCCCUCGAGCCCGCGCGGGUUUCGGUGUUGGGCCGCCGUCCCCCGGGGGGGGGGACGGGCCCGAAAGGCAGUGGCGGCCCCGGGGCGACUUCCCGCGCGAUCGCAGCACCUCGCGGCCGAAGCGUUCGCCCCGCGGGCCCGCCUGGACCACCAGUGUGACGUACCGGUUGACCUCGGAUCAGGCAGGGAUACCCGCUGAACUUAAGCAUAUCAAUAAGCGGAGGA
rnacentral:misc_RNA from 1 species